rnacentral:misc_RNA from 1 species
AAAGGACUGGUCAGAAGGAAACUUUUAUGUAGAAGAUUCCUUCAGCACCAUCAACUGGAAGCAACAUGAACUGUCAUGUUGUAACAUGUGCGCAACAGAGGACAUUUUAUGAACUUCCUCUUUGGUCUUUUGUAGACACUUAGUUUAAUCAAAUUAUUCAUGUUAUAUAUACAAGUCCAUUUUUAAAAUGAGAUCUGGUAUCACUUAUACAAAUUUUCUCUUCUUUUGUCCUCAUUUUCUAAUCUUAAAUCUUUCUUUAGUUAAUUAGGUCGGAUUUGUAAACUAUGACAAUGGUACAACGUUUUUGUACUGUUGCAACCAGAAAUCGCUUUUUUUUUUUUUUUU